GCCGGGUUAGCUCAGUUGGCUAGAGCAUCUGUCUUGUAAACAGAAGGUCGUCGGUUCGAAUCCGACACCCGGCUCCG
rnacentral:tRNA from 1 species